rnacentral:rRNA from 1 species
GACGUAGGGCGCGAGCGUUGUCCGGAUUUAUUGGGCGUAAAGAGCUCGUAGGUGGUUUGUCGCGUUGUUCGUGAAAUCUCACGGCUUAACUGUGAGCGUGCGGGCGAUACGGGCAGACUAGAGUACUGCAGGGGGAGACUGGAAUUCCUGGUGUAGCGGUGGAAUGCGCAGAUAUCAGGAGGAACACCGGUGGCGAAGGCGGGUCUCUGGGCAGUAACUGACGCUGAGGAGCGAAAAGCGUGGGGGAGCGAACAGG